ACUUGAAUUGAAGAGUUUGAUCAUGGCUCAGAUUGAACGCUGGCGGCAGGCUUAACACAUGCAAGUCGAACGGUAGCAGGAGAAAGCUUGCUUUCUUGCUGACGAGUGGCGGACGGGUGAGUAAUGCUUGGGAAUCUGGCUUAUGGAGGGGGAUAACGACGGGAAACUGUCGCUAAUACCGCGUAUUAUCGGAAGAUGAAAGUGCGGGACUGAGAGGCCGCAUGCCAUAGGAUGAGCCCAAGUGGGAUUAGGUAGUUGGUGGGGUAAAGGCCUACCAAGCCUGCGAUCUCUAGCUGGUCUGAGAGGAUGACCAGCCACACUGGAACUGAGACACGGUCCAGACUCCUACGGGAGGCAGCAGUGGGGAAUAUUGCGCAAUGGGGGGAACCCUGACGCAGCCAUGCCGCGUGAAUGAAGAAGGCCUUAGGGUUGUAAAGUUCUUUCGGUAUUGAGGAAGGUUGAUGUGUUAAUAGCACAUCAAAUUGACGUUAAAUACAGAAGAAGCACCGGCUAACUCCGUGCCAGCAGCCGCGGUAAUACGGAGGGUGCGAGCGUUAAUCGGAAUAACUGGGCGUAAAGGGC
rnacentral:rRNA from 1 species